UCCCACCAGGAAGUAAACUUGGAAACUGUUGGAGACUUGCUAGUUUGGACACGACUGCAUCUCAACAAGAUGUAUCAUUCAGUGCUGCAAAAGAAAGUCCUGGCUCUAUUCAUUUGAAGAAGGAGAAGGUGGGGACCGUGGGUGCAUCCUUUACUAAGGGCUACAGGUCUACCAAGACCACUUUGAGGUGGUGCAGUGCCUGUACUACCGUCAUGGUGUGCCCUUGUGUCAGAUUUGCCCAAGGUCCCUUGGUGCUGGGGUGGUGCCAACUAGCGUCUGGUCCCCUGGUUUGGACUGUGACGGGACCUUGUGUCACUACCCCAGAUAGCCUCCUCCUCUUCCCGCCGGCUUUUGCCCUCAACUACAGUCGUCUCCUGGUUGGAGGUAGAGUUCCCUGACAACCUUGUGGACUGUCAUAAAAAUUGAAGUCUAAAAUUCUAAAUCACACACUUAACACAUGGUGACACAUUACACUGUAUAUUUAGGGGAACAUACAAGGCAUGAGGAUGUACACAGUGGACCGGGCUUCAGCACACGAAGGUUGUUUACUGGUCCAGCUGUUGCGCUGCUCUGCCCUUCCCUGCCCUUCCCUGCCCUGCCUGUCGUCCGACUUUAAUGCUUGACACACUCAACAUCUGUAACUGGCUAUAACAUGCAUCACGUGUACAUACACUUUGGGAGGCUACGAAUCUGGAUCAGGAGGCAAGCUGCAGGCCAACAGUAGCCUACUGUGUAGCCUUGCGUCCUCAUCCAAGCCAGCUUCCCCAGAUUUCAUUGUAGUAUUACGUACACCACCUUUUUGACUUUUGAGGUCUGCACAAUGAAUGAUCUAAAAAAAUAAGUUACAUUGUAUAAUAUUUUUUUCAAUCAAUUUAGCUUUGAUACUCUGCGCUUUAAACAAAGUGGAUAAAAUUUAUUAUCAUUAGUCAUUCAAGGCAACAUUGGAUAAUUCAGAGCUCAUGACUGAACAUCUGGAGUGAGUUUGCUGCACUGAAAGUAAAGGGGCAGAAGAAUAUCGCAUGUCCCACUUUUCAGCUGUUUUAUUUGUUCAAAAAGAUAGAAAAGACCCUAACCUAGAUAAGUGUUUCAAUGACAUAAACCUCAUUUUGCAAUUUCAAAAUGAGAAAUUACAUAGGUCCACACAGGGUCAAAAAUGUUGUAAAAAUUAAUUGCUGCUUACUGCUUACUCAGCAGAUAAUCAUGGAACGUCACCAAGAAAGUGCUAUCUAUUUUAAUCUAAUGGACUCCGACCAUGAGUGUUCGGUAAGAUUUUACCGUAAAUGGAGAUGCAAAGGAAGUGUGUUACUCUCUUAUGAUGUGUGUUAUUUUAUGUGAGGUUUUUAGAAAACAGACCAUAUCGAGCAGGGGUGUCAAACUCAUUUUUGUCGCGGGCCGCAUCGUAACCAUAGUUUCCAUUGGAGGGCCAUUAUGACUGUCAACGCCUUAUAUUAUACACAGUAUGGGCUACAAAACAAACGGAUGAAUAACUACUUUUGAAAUUAGAGACUAGUAAAAGUUGUUCAAAUAUUUUAAAACGGUGGAUGAUAAUAAAAAUUGCUUGCAAUAGCUCUACUUUUUAAAGUGAAGACAAUUUGUACUCGAUGCACAAUUUGUCUUCACGGGCCACAUUAAAUGAUGUGAGGGGCCGUAUCUAGCCCCCGGGUCUUGAGUUUGACACCUACGAUAUAGAGCAUUCAGUGUGAAAAUAACUGCAGGUUGCUUCAUCAAGUUUAACAUAAUACAGGUUCAUUCAAAGAUGCCCAUCCAUUGAAACUUCAGUAAUUUUAAAAUAGAAGUUGGAUUUGGGUCGGAUAAACAGGAGCAGCGUCUCUUAAAAUAGUGUCUGUGCACUGCCUGUGAAAAAUACGGAUGUGGCAAUGUUAUAGUCUGACCUCUAUCAUCCUUUUCAGUCCAGUGUAUUGUUUUCAUGUCAGGACUGAUAAUCCUAUAAAAUGAAAUGAAAAAGCCCAUCCCUUGUCCUGCUCCCAUUGGCUAUCAGUUGGUUACGUGCUGUUUGCUGCAUCACUGACAGCUACUAAACACAUCCAUCCACAGCAAUUUCCCAAAAACAGAGGAUAUUGUAUGUCAUUAUAUUCGCUCAGUAAAUGUGGUGUUGACAACUGGUUCUAAAUUUCACAGGGUGGGCUGGCAUUAUGUAUGUUUUUCUCCUGUGUGUGACAACAGGAAAAAAAAAAAGGAAUCAUGCGCACAUUGUAACAAUCCUGAUUUACUGGGACCCACAGAAAAACAAAACUGCAGUUCAUGUAUAGCAUAAAUGAUCUAUUUAAGUAGUUAUGCAAUCUGUUGUUCCUGAACCGUUAUCAUGAGGGAAGAAGAGACAGGAAAAGUGAAUUAUAGAUAACCUGCAGGUGGAGAAGGAGCUGUAGGAGCACGACUGAAAUUCAAUUAAUGUGGCUGAUCUGUGAUAUCCACUGAAAUAAAGCUUCUUAAAGACCAGUAAAAACAGAGCAUUAAAAGAUAAAAACAUCAGCUUUUGUGGAAGAAUCAAAAGGUAUUGUAUAGCAUUAGAACCGUAUCCUCUACUCCAGUAAACGGUAUACAAGUACAUCUAUUCAUUGCUCUGUGCCUAAUCGACUUGAACAAACACCUUGCCUAAAAUAGAUGCCGCUUUCCAAAAAAACAUUAUAAUGCCACUAGCCUUUCACUUCAUGAAAAUAAAUCCAUCCAUUCAACCAUCCAUUUUCUAUCGGAUUUUUAUUUUCUAUUUUAAUAGGAUUGUGGCAUAAAUAAUCAAUCCAUUGAAUUCUUUUACUGCACUUACCUCAUUCAGAAAAAAUGGGGAGCUACAGUCUACCUCAAAUGACUUGACCGAAAGGCAGGCUACAUUCUGGACUGGUCGCCAGGCAAACAUUGGUCACAAAUGAAGAUAGACAACCAUUCACGUUGUCACUGAGUAGAACUAAACUCAUGCUGCACGCAUGCACACACGCAAGCAUAAAAUAUAUCCUUGGCCUAUUCCUUGCAAGUCUACAAAUUAACGUGUGGCGUGCUUCAAGGUUCAAUUCCCCUUUUAAAGGUGUUUUACUUCUUCCCACACUUGAAGGAUUGUACCAAACUGAACUUGAACUGGAUUGCACUCAAAAACCAGACUGUUGUUCCAUUGUUUCCAUUUAUUUUCUUCACCCGUGAUUUUCUUCCAACUUGUCAAUCAUUUGUUGUAAGGGUGGUCUCAGUUGGACUUAACAGUUUGCAAGUUAUUUGCAAAUGUUUGAGGCAAGCAACCCGGUUAGCUCAGCAGGUAGAGAAUGAGACUCUUAAUCUCUGGGUCGUGGGUUUGAUCCCCACAUUAGGCAUCUGCUGCUUGUCAGUGUUUUAAUUAAGAUUUGGCCUUACCCUAUUAAAUAAAAGAUUAACAAUUUAUUUUGAACCGCCCAUACCUUAUUAAACAAAAGUUUAAACACAUUUGCAGAAGGAGCCCGGUUACCUCAGUCGGUAGAGCAUCAGACUCUUAAUCUCAGAAUCGUUGGUUCGAGCCCCACAUUGGGCGUCUGCCAUUUGUUGGCAAAAUUUUAAUGAAGAAUCGGCCUUACCCUAUUAAAAAAAAUAAGCGAAAGUUUAAGAAAAGCAGCCCGGUCAGCUCAGUCAAAACAUUUUGAACCGCCCAUACCUUAUUAAACAAAAAUCUGAACAAAUUUGCAGAUGACGGAUAUUAAAUAAAAAAAUGAACAAAAGACUGAGAAAAGCAGCCUGGUUAGCUCAGUCGGUAGAGCAUGAGACUCUUAAUCUCAGGGUCGUGGGUUCGAGCCCCACAUUGGGCGUCUGCUACUUAUUGGCCAGGAUUUAGUGAAGAUAGGCCUUACCCUAUUAAAUAAAAAAGAAACAAAAGUUUGAGAAAAGGAGCCCGGUUAGCUCAGUCGGUAGAGCAUGAGACUCUUAAUCUCAGGGUCGUGGGUUCGAGCCCCACAUUGGGCGUAUUCCACUUGUUGGGCAGAUUCUUUAUUUUGAACUGCUCAUUGGGCGUCUGCCAUUUGUUGGUUGAAGAAUCGGCCUUACCCUAUUAGAAAAAAUAAUCAAAAGUUUGAGAUAAGCAGCCCGGUUAGCUCAGUCGGUAGAGCAUGAGACUCUUAAUCUCAGGGUCGUGGGUUAUAGCCCCACAUUGGGCGUCUGCUACUUAUUGGCCAGGAUUUAGUGAAGAUCGGGCUUACCCUAUUAAAUAAAAAAUAAACAAAAGUUUGAGAAAAGGAGCCCGGUUAGCUCAGUCGGUAGAGCAUGAGACUCUUAAUCUCAGGGUCGUGGGUUCGAGCCCCACAUUGUGCGUAUUCCACUUGUUGGGCAGAUUCUUUAUUUUGAACUGCUCAUUGGGCGUCUGCCAUUUGUUGGCCGUUUUAAUGAAGAAUCGGCCUUACCCUAUUAGAAAUAAUAAUCAAAAGUUUGAGAUAAACAGCCCGGUUAGCUCAGUCGGUAGAGCAUGAGACUCUUAAUCUCAGGGUCGUGGGUUGAAGCCCCACAUUGGGCGUAUUCCACUUGUUGGGCAGAUUCUUUAUUUUGAACUGCUCAUUGGGCGUCUGCCAUUUGGUUGAAGAAUCGGCCUUACCCUAUUAGAAAAAAUAAUCAAAAGUUUGAGAUAAGCAGCCCGGUUAGCUCAGUCGGUAGAGCAUGAGACUCUUAAUCUCAAGGUCGUGGGUUAUAGCCCCACAUUGGGCGUCUGCUACUUAUUGGCCAGGAUUUAGUGAAGAUCGGGCUUACCCUAUUAAAUAAAAAAUAAACAAAAGUUUGAGAAAAGCAGCCCGGUUAGCUCAGUAGGUAGAGCAUGAGACUCUUAAUCUCAGGGUCGUGGGUUCGAGCCCCACAUUUGGCGUAGUCCACUUGUUGGGCAGAUUCCUUAUUUUGAACUGCUCAUUGGGCGUCUGCCAUUUGUUGGCCGUUUUAAUGAAGAAUCAGCCUUACCCUAUUAGAAAAAAUAAUCAAAGGUUUGAGAUAAACAGCCCGGUUAGCUCAGUCGGUAGAGCAUGAGACUCUUAAUCUCAGGGUCGUGGGUUCGAGCCCCACAUUGGGCGUCUGCUACUUAUUGGCCAGGAUUUAGUGAAGAUCGGCCUUACCCUAUUAAAUAAAUAAUAAACAAAAGUUUGAGAAAAGGACCCCGGUUAGCUCAGUCCGUAGAGCAUGAGACUCUUGAUCUCAGGGUCGUGGGUUCGAGCCCCACAUUGGGUGUAUUCUACUUGUUGGGCAGAUUCUUUAUUUUGAACUGCUCAUUGGGCGUCUGCCAUUUGUUGGCCGUUUUGAAGAAUCGGCCUUACCCUAUUAGUAAAAAUAAUCAAAAGUUUGAGAUAAGCAGCCCGGUUAGCUCAGUCGGUAGAGCAUGAGACUCUUAAUCUCAGGGUCGUGGGUUCGAGCCCCACAUUGGGCGUCUGCUACUUAUUGGCCAGGAUUUAGUGAAGAUCGGCCUUACCCUAUUAAAUAAAUAAUAAACAAAAGUUUGAGAAAAGGAGCCCGGUUAGCUCAGUCGGUAGAGCAUGAGACUCUUAAUCUCAUGGUCGUGGGUUCGAGCCCCACAUUGGGCGUAUUCCACUUGUUGGGCAGAUUCUUUAUUUUGAACUGCUCAUUGGGCGUCUGCCAUUUGUUGGCCGUUUUAAUGAAGAAUCGGCCUUACCCUAUUAGAAAAAAUAAUCAAACGUUUGAGAUAAGCAGCCCGGUUAGCUCAGUCGGUAGAGUAUGAGACUCUUAAUCUCAGGGUCGUGGGUUCGAGCCCCACAUUGGGCAUCUGCUACUUAUUGGCCAGGAUUUAGUGAAGAUCGGCCUUACCCUAUUAAAUAAAAAAUAAACAAAAGUUUGAGAAAAGGAGCCCGGUUAGCUCAGUCGGUAGAGCAUGAGACUCUUAAUCUUAGGGUUGUGGGUUCAAGCCCCACAUUGGGCGUAUUCCACUUGUUGGACAGAUUCUUUAUUUUGAACUGCUCAUUGGGCGUCUGCCAUUUGUUGGCCGUUUUAAUGAAGAAUCAGCCUUACCCUAUUAGAAAAAAUAAUCAAAAGUUUGAGAUAAGCAGCCCGGUUAGCUCAGUCGGUAGAGCAUGAGACUCUUAAUCUCAGGGUCGUGGGUUCGAGCCCCACAUUGGGCGUCUGCUACUUUUUGGCCAGGAUUUAGUGAAGAUCGGCCUUACCCUAUUAAAUAAAAAAUAAACAAAAGUGUGAGAAAAGGAGCCCGGUUAGCUCAGUCGGUAGAGCAUGAGACUCUUAAUCUCAGGGUCGUGGGUUCGAGCCCCACAUUGGGCGUCUGCCGUUUGUUGGCAAGGUUUUAAUGAAGAAUCGGCCUUACCCUAUUAAAAAAAAUAAUCAAAAGUUUGAGAUAAGCAGCCCGGUUAGCUCAGUAGGUAGAGCAUGAGACUCUUAAUCUCAGAGUCGUGGGUUCGAGCCCCACAUUGGGCGUAGUCCACUUGUUGGGCAGAUUCUUUAUUUUGAACUGCUCAUUGGGCGUCUGCCAUUUGUUGGCCGUUUUAAUGAAGAAUCAGCCUUACCCUAUUAGAAAAAAUAAUCAAAAGUUUGAGAUAAGCAGCCCGGUUAGCUCAGUCGGUAGAGCAUGAGACUCUUAAUCUCAGGGUCGUGGGUUCGAGCCCCACAUUGGGCGUCUGCUACUUUUUGGCCAGGAUUUAGUGAAGAUCGGCCUUACCCUAUUAAAUAAAAAAUAAACAAAAGUGUGAGAAAAGGAGCCCGGUUAGCUCAGUCGGUAGAGCAUGAGACUCUUAAUCUCAGGGUCGUGGGUUCGAGCCCCACAUUGGGCGUCUGCCGUUUGUUGGCAAGGUUUUAAUGAAGAAUCGGCCUUACCCUAUUAAAAAAAAUAAUCAAAUCUUUGAGAAAAGCAGCCCAGUUCGCUCAGUCGGUAGAGCAUGAGACUCUUAAUCUCAGGGUCGUGGGUUCGAGCCCCACAUUGGGCGUAUUCCACUUGUUGGGCAGAUUCUUUAUUUUGAACUGCUCAUUGGGCGUCUGCCAUUUGUUGGUUGAAGAAUCGGCCUUACCCUAUUAGAAAAAAUAAUCAAAACUUUGAGAUAAGCAGCCCGGUUAGCUCAGUUGGUAGAGCAUGAGACUCUUAAUCUCAGGGUCGUGGGUUCGAGCCCCACAUUGGGCAUCUGCUAUUUGUUGGCAAGGUUUCAAUGAAAAAUCGCCCUUACCUAUUAAAUAAAAAAUAAACAAAAGAUUGAGAAAAGCAGCCCGGUUAGCUCAGUCGGUAGAGCAUGAGCCUUUUUUUUUUUUUUUCAAUGUUUUACCAGGUAAACCAGUUGAGAACACUUUCUCAUUUACAAUGGCGACCUGGCGAUCUUAAUCUCAGGGUCGCAGGUUCGAUCCCCACUUUGGGUGUCUGUCACUUGUUGGCCGGGUUGUUCUGUCGUACCCUAUUAAGAAAAAUGAACUAAAAUCUCAAAACAAGGAGCCCGGUUAGCUCAAUCGGUAGAGCAUGAGGCUUUUAAUCUCAGGGUCAUGGGUUCCAGCCCCACAUUGGGCGUGUGCCACUUGUUGUCCAGGUUAAAUCAGUUGUACUCACUGCAAUCCUGUAUUACAUUGUUCAUCAUAUCCAAUAGGUUAGUCCCAAACAGUAAUGAGUUUGUUCUUUCACAAAUUGGUAUUUGUAAUUGCAAACUAUUCGUUUGUAUAUAAUAGAAUGAACUCGCACAAUCGUAGCCAAAUCAGUAGACAAAUUCCAGUUUAUUAACAAGAGCAAUAGUGUUGGUACAAGGCAGGAGUUGGAGGGAAACUCCAGUGGUCGCAAACUGUAUUAGCUUAAAACACUCAACUGUCAAACAGCUGUACGGCUGCGUUUUCCUUUUAGUUUCCUUAAAUGAUGGAAAUAACAAAAACUAUUUUAAAAAAUGUGUAAAACACAGACCUCCUUAUUGAAAGCUCACUUUACGAAUAAUUAAUUUCAUACACAGUACAAAACAUGCAUUCCAUUAUUAUUCCACAACUAUCAGUUUUACAGUGUACACUGACUACACAAAUCCAACUGAGAUCCAAACAAUUGUUUUAAGCAACCUGUACACAUCUGUCACAAAUGCAUGACAUACGGGCUAGUCCUAUUUUCACGACACUGAAAAUCUUCCAUUAUUCUACAAUAAAUCUUCACACAACGUACAAGAUUCAUCCUCUUCGCAAUUGGGCUCUUUGAAACAGCCUGAGGUAAGCUUCAACACAAGAUGUAGCUCAAGUUCAAAGGUAAAAUCUAAUUAAAAUAUGAGAAUCAUAUACUAAUGAACACCAUAAACAAAGACAAAAAAAACCUGAUGCUGCAGUUAGUUUGUUCACAGAAUUUCUAGUAAACAGAACACUCAAAGUGGCAAAGUACUUUGUAUCCCUUUGGCUGCACAAAUUCUCUAAAUCAAUCAGCAGAGGUUCAACCAUUAAGUAGUGCAACACAAAUCAAACAAAAAUGAAACAAUGACAAUGUCGCCGAGAAGGCAAGAAGGGUGACAAGACCUUUCAGUGUUCCCUUUUCAGCUUGCGGCCUAUGUCUACCUCGUCCAGCCCGGUGGCCGACCUGGACUGUUGAAGUUCUCGGAGCUGAGCGUGCGUGCGAGGCGCCUGCUUCUUCAACUUCCGCAGGUGAAUGUCAAUGGGGUCUAGUUCGGGCUCGGAAGCUGGAACAGGCAAGUAGCCGCCGUCCCUCGGCAAACACAUACAACAGCCGGCACCGGCCAGGUCAAGCUCACUGUAUUUGAACUCGAGCUUCUUCAGCUUGAAGUCCACCAUGUCAACAGAUUCGCUCAUUUCAACCAGAAGGUUCCAGAAGACACAGCUCAGGAUGAUGCCAAGCAGCUGCAGGGAGACGCACACGCAGGUUCAAACAAACACAGGCAUGACAUACCAUAACCUAUACAUAUACUGUAUUUUCCGGACUAUAAGCCGCAUUUUUUUUCAUAGUUUGGCCGAGGGUGCAACUAUAAGGUCACACUAGGCGUGUGGAAUAAUUGGAGCCACCGCUCAAGAAUCAAGCGAUUCUAGCCUGUAGAAUUAUUAUUAUCUUUUUUUUAAAAAAAGCACACAAGCCGCUUUAUUGUGCGGAAAAUACGGUAGAUCUUUUAUAGCCACUGUAUAACCGCUCAAGACAAACUGAAUGAGAAAUAAGACAAGCUUUGUUUAACAGAAACUGUUUCAAUGGUGUUUCACUCAUGUCUGUUAAUUUCUGAUUUGCAUUUAUUACGGUUGGCAUCGAAGUAGAAGGCAAAUAAUAAAUGAAAGGGUAACCUAGAAGAGGGGGGGGAGAGAGUUUUCUUGCAGUAAUCAGAUCUAAGCGCAAAUAUUUCAACACUUUUUUUCUCAUUCUACAUAAAUCUCCAUCUAAUGGAACAAAGCAGGAACCAUGCUAAAGCAAACAACCUUCCAUCAACUUUGGAACUCAACCAUAAAGGAAUUCUGCAAAAACGCUUUAGACUAGAAGUUACCUGUGGCAGCCCGAUGGCACAGCAGAGUGCGACAGUUAUUCCAAUGUUGUCACUCAUCCAAAGGUUGACAGCGUGGAUGCAGCCUCGCACGUGAAUCUCCUCAUGCAGGCUUUCACGCUGAUGCACAGCAAGAAGACAACAAGAGCAUACAUUUUUUAAUUAAAAUUAAACUGCGAAGUGCACAACUCAAAAAAGGUAUUAGAUUAAACUGCGAGGUGCACAACUCAAAAAGGUAUUCUUUAAAAGAUCCUUCAUGCAUACCUCCACACACAAAUUUUAAAAUGUUUAAUAUCAACUGACAUGAAAAUUGCCGUGUGACCUGAAAACCAAAAACAGAGAUGUUCUUGACAAAUGGCUAGACCUUUUCUUCCAAUAUAUUUACCAUAUUUUCAAAUUGUCAGAUUUCACAAGAAAAUUGCACGUCAGUUUAGAAAGAGGUAUUCUAAAACGUGUCAUUCUUGCCGAAAUAGAAUUGGAUGUAUUCCAGUAAACAUUGCUCGUCUUUCCCACCUCUAUUGCGCUCCCAUAACUAAACUAUUGUGUCAAUGUCCUUCAUUAACUGUGACGCGCAAACAUCCUUAAUGGCAAUACUGCAAUGGAAUCGAAACAAAUAUCUCCAAUUGCACAUACCUGCCUAUCCAGAGCCUUGGAACCGCACAGGGUGUUAAUGACCUCUCCUACCUGUGGGAAAAAAACAUAAUGAGGGAGUCUGAAACUAGACACAAAAUCACUUCACUGGUUCUUUUAUAUCAGACUAAUUAUUUUAGGUGCAUUACCUGACAUGUUUCGGCGGGUAAUGCACCUAAAAUAAUUUGUUUGAUAUAAAAGAACCAGUGAAGUGAUUAAAAAGGAAAAACAAGAUGAACUUAGUACAACUAGACACAAAAUGUGAGGACAUAAUGCAUCAGUGGCAUGCUACUCUUACAUGGGGGUGGUGGUGGAAUGGAGAGAGGUUGGGCACCCACGACACCUGCUUGCUAGAGCAUGAACUUGUGUGCUAGAAAACAGCAGCCGUGAUAGCUGAGAACCGAUAAUGGUGGCAAUUUGGCCCAUGUUCCACCUCUCUAAUAAACGCUUCAAUGUGUCCGAGCUUGUGAGUGUCAGACAGGGCAACUGUUCCUUAUUGCUUCAGAAUAGUUGCACCACUUCCAAAGUCCAUAUCAGAGCUUUGGGGGGAGGAACAAGGAUGAUACCUGUCAUUGAGCGCACAGAGGAGCCCCUCAAGGAUUACCGCUUCAUUUCAAGAGUGAAAUGAAGCCUAUAUACCAGAACAUGUCUGGCUGUACGAUACGGACUUGGAAAUAAUUAAAGUCUCUUUUUACAGUGAUAAAGUAGAAGCUAUUUUGCUGCUAUCUUCACCAAUGGGAAAUAAAGUUAAAGGGGGGGGGGGGAAGUCCUAACCAAUAUGAGACCAUACAGAAAGCAUACCUAAUUUGUUGAGGCUUACAGUACACAUACACAGUACACACACAAUGUAUAACUUUGUUACACUGAACAUUUCUUUAGCAAUAUUGUAUGUAUCGAAACACCCAAAUCUCGAUUUUAUGCAGACUGUGGGGUCCAGAAUUUGGUGAUUGCGUUAAGCUCAACAUAUAUAGCCCGUUGUACAGAAAGUCUUGUUUUUAUUUUUAGAAAGGUAUGUUUUUAGGCAGCCAAAGGGGCCCUUUGUUAUGUUAAUUUCGGUCGGCAUGUUGUUGGGCACCCAUUUGCUGUCCAUCACCUUGAAUUCUCCACACACAUCGAAGUCUGUUGACAUUUUCUUAAAAGAGAAUCAAUAAGCAGAUGACAAUAUCAGGUGGCUUGAGUAAGUCAUUUUGAUGCUAUGUGAAUCGGAUGAAAGAGAGAAUAAAGCAACCACUUAUUCUACUACUGUGUCCGGCCACGCUCUUUGCCAGUGAGACUGUGUGGUUGAGGUGCUUCCGUGAGCUUCCCUCUUUCCAAAUCAAAAACAA